rnacentral:rRNA from 1 species
CCUACGGGGGGCAGCAGUGGGGAAUAUUGGUAAUGGGCGAAAGCCUGAACCAGCAACGCCGCGUGUGCGAUGAAGGCCUUCGGGUUGUAAAGCACUUUUUGAGGGGAUGAGGAAGGACAGUACCCUCAGAAUAAGUCUCGGCUAACUACGUGCCAGCAGCCGCGGUAACACGUAGGAGACUAGCGUUAUCCGGAUUUACUGGGCGUAAAGCGCGUGCAGGUGGCUCGGAAAGUUCGAUGUGAAAGCUCCCGGCUUAACUGGGAGAGGUCGUUGAAUACUUUCGGGCUAGAGGAUGGGAGAGGGAGGCGGAAUUCCGGGUGUAGUGGUGAAAUGCGUAGAUAUCCGGAGGAACACCAGUGGCGAAAGCGGCCUCCUGGCCCAUUUCUGACACUCAGACGCGAAAGCUAGGGUAGCAAACGGGCUUAGAUACCCGUGUAGUC